CCCUUAGAUGUUCUGGGCCGCACGCGCGCUACGCUGAUGCAUUCAACGAGUCUAAAACCUGCUCUGAUAGGGGUGGGUAAUCUUUUGAAUGUGCAUCGUGAUUGGGAUAGAUGAUUGCAAUUUUUCAUCUUCAACGAGGAAUGCCUAGUAAACGCAAGUCAUCAGCUUGCAUUGAUUACGUCCCUGCCCUUUGUACACACCGCCCGUCGCUCCUACCGAUUGAAUGAUCCGAUGAAUAUCAUAGACUGAGAGUAUAAGCAGGUUCGCCUGUCUUUGCUUCUCGGGAAGUGAAGUAAAUCUUAUCAUUUAGAGGAAGGAGAAGUCGUAACA
rnacentral:rRNA from 1 species